ACCCAAUCAUUUCUGAUUCCCUUUAAAUGGAUUUUGCAGUUUUUCUAUUUACGUCAAUUUUCAUAGAUCCAGAUAUUUGCUACAUCAAUCUUCUUGGAGCCUUACUAUCUUUAGGAGAUGGUGGCAUCCAGCUGUGUAUUGGAUUUUUAAUUUCUGACCAAGUAUUUUUUGAAAUGAUAUGGUUAUUUGUUGUUUCUCUCUGAUUUUCUUGAAAUUCCUAACAGAAAUUUUUUGCAUACAUCGGGCAUGCUUGUUAAUAAGUUUGUGAGAUUUUUCCCACUGCACCACAAGAAGAUAUUUGUCUAUUCACAAUCAUGGGAUGUAUAUUGUUUCCUUAAGUAUCAGUUUUGGGUUGUACUAGCCUCAGGGCUUUGGUUAGUGAUGAGGACUCAAAACAGGAUUGUGAACAUGUCACAAGUUUUUGAACCCUAUCAAUUAUUUUAGACAAUGAUCCUGAUAUUUAAGUGGGAUCAGGGUAGAGAGGUGGCUCAUAUUCUCAGGAGUUUCAAACUUGUUGGUCAAUCUGAGAUAUCUAAUUCACAAGAAAAUUUUCUGUUAUUCAGAAAUAACUGAGCCCUACCAGAAAAUUUAGGUUGAUAUUCACUCUUCAGCUGUGGAGGUUGGCUAUGCAGCUUUGACCUAUUAAAUAUGCUAACACUUUUGAACUAAGGCUGCUUGCCAGUAGGGUCUAACUUGUAUGAGAAACAAUCCAAAUCUCAGAGGAACCAGCUUAAUUUGAACACCUGAACACUACUCUAACUGUAGCUUAGUGAAUUAUCAGGUCGUAUCUGGUACGUUUAUGGUCAUCUAAUGUGAAAUAGAUUUGUCUUGUCCAGCUUGGUUUGUGGGGAAGAUUUGAAACUCUUUAUAAUAGGUAACAUUGAUUUUUUUAGUCGUUGACCAUGCUUUUGCCGGUCAUACCUGAAACUGGUUAGCAAUUAUUACACAACUGGGGUUGGAUCUCAUUCUCAAGCUUCAAGAUCAUUUAUGAGGUAAGUUACAAUCUUUGUUUAGAUUUUCAUCACACAACCAGUCUAUGGAACUUGAUAAAACGGCCAUUAACCAGAAAUUCCAUUGCUCUAAAUUUUGCAACAUUCAUUAAAGUUAAACCUAACUCUGAGCAUGAAGUUAUAUGUUUUGCUUGAAGCAGGAACUUAAAUCUGAUUCACAAGCAACCAACAUCUGUCAAACUUCUUGCCGUAACAUUCUCUAGAGCUUGUCUCUGCCAUUUGCAAUAUAUAUAUAUAUAUGUAUCUCCCUCCUCUCUUUUUUGGGUGCUUCAUCUUCUGUUGUGCCUCCUAACUUGUCUGGCCAUUUUAACUAUGGUUUUGUAUGAUUGCUUUACACCAGUGACAGCAAAAUACAACCAUUCAGAUGAUAUGCAUGCUUUCCCAGCAAGCUUUGGCGUUAAAGGAGAGGAUCUGAGCUCUAUUUCUGAUGUUUCUUUGAAGGAAAUUGUUACAAAAACUCAUGGGAGGCGAAAUGGAUAUUGUAAGGUUUUUAAGGACACCUCAGGAGGGUAUAUGAGAUUCAGGAGAAAGUUUCAUUUCAUGGUGCAUCUUCUCUGUCUCAUAAGGCUAACUGGUUCUUGCAGCCAUGACAGAUUUCAAAGCUUUUAAGCUGAUCCAUGUUUUGGCUUGGUAAAGUUUAGUUUCCUUUCCCCCCUCACCAAACUAUCCUUUUCGUGAAAUUGCACACAUGACCUUCCAAAGUUUCAUUUCAUGGUGCAUCUUCUCUGACUCAUAAGACUAACUGGUUCUUGCAGCCAUGACAGAUUUCAAAGCUUUUGAGCUGAUUCGUGUUUUGGCUUGGUAAAGUUCAGUUUCCUUUUCCCCUGCACCAAACCACCCUUUUCGUGAAAUUGCACACAUGGCCUUCCUCUUUUCUUAUUCUUAUUACUCUCUGCUCCGUUUUAUAAACCAUGAGGAUGUGGAGGUUUUGUCUUCCGUGGAAGUUCAAUAAAACUUGUUUUCUCACGAGCUGAAAAAGUAUUUCUUGGCACGUCAGGUGGGUCUAUGAGAUUUUGGAAUUAAAUUUCCAUUCAUGGUGUUUCUUCUGAAUUUGCAUUGUUUCCUUGUUAUUUGCUAUAUUUUCUUCACGGUUUCCUUCUUCUUUGUACCUGGAUUUGCUGAACUUGAGCCGAGAGUCUUUUGGAAAUAGCCUCUCUACCUCCACGAGAUAGUGAUAAGGUUUACGUACAUUCUACCCUCCCCAGACCCCAAUUGUGGGACACUUGUGGGAUUUCACUGAGUAUGUUGUUGUUGUUGUUGUACUUGCAUUACUAAUAUCAAUGUGGACCUUUUAAUGAUAUUAAAGAGUUAUUCUUUUGCAUUAAAGAUUGACCUUUUUGGGCCCGAAUAUGGAUGUUUUCGUCACUUUUCUCGCUGAUAUAUUUUGUAAGCUUUUUCCCACUCAUAGGUUGCUGUUGUUGUGACUUAAGUUGCUCUACGUAAAUAUAUACAGUAGAAUAGAUAUUCUUAUUAUAGUUCUUUUUAAGUGUUGAUCGAUGAUACUGAUGCUUAUUGUUUGAAAUUUAUUUCUAGAGCUCAUCAUGUUUCCGAGAAUUACCCAUUGCACUGUGAUUGAAUGGUGACCUUCUGCUUGGAGUUGUUCAGGAUAUACUCAAAGCAAGUUCAAUUCUUUUUUGGAGACUGCAGAAACUUAGAAUGGGUUUUGGUUUACAAAUGUUGGUCUUCUGGAAGAUGCUACUCAUGCAUCAUACUACUACCAGUGAAUGGAAAUGCUUUGAAGAGACGGAUCCUUCCUCUUUGGUCAAAUAGAGAUGUAACGAGACAUCUAGAAAAGAUGCCAGUGAAUUGCAAUGCCUGUAAAAGAAGGAUCCUUUCUCUUUGUCACAUGGAAACAAAUCAAGAGACACGUAGAAAAGAUGGAAUGUUUUUUGAGCCUUUACUAACUGGAUCUGAGUUUACUUGAUCAAGAUAACAACACUCCUAUUGGUGAGCUGAGAACCUCUACUCGGAUAAUGAUUUCGAGGUACUCCUGAAGUUGGAACACUGGAGUUCGACACAUUUCCUAUUAGAACAAGGUAGCACUCUUAACACAAAUUAUUUUCGUAAAAUUGGUUUACUUUUUAGGAUAGUCUUUUAAUGGUAUGAUGAUUGCAAGUGGUUCAAUUUUUGCAACAGCGGUCAUGUUGUGCUUCUAAAGUGCACUGUGGCCAUGAAAGAGGAAUUAAGUGGAACAAAAUUGACUAGGUGGUAGAGUCGUGGAAUAACUGAAUCAUGUGCGCACACACACACAACGUAUAUAUAUGCAUUUUGGAUUGUUUCUUGAAUAGGUGCUUCCAUCUGGCGCCUUUAGCAUACACACUUUUCUUGAUUGGGAGGUCAUAGGGAAUUAGUCUAGAUCCACAAAAAUUGGUCUGAAUAUCACGAUCAUCAAAAAGAAAAUUUAAACGCAAUCUUGUUCUUUGAAAUGCAGCAGUGUACAGACGUAGUAAGCCGUACGAAGAUAUAUGACCCUGGCUUCUUAGACACAAGAAAUUUUAAAUGAAAACUAUGUUCAUUUACUUCCAAAAAAGCUGCUUUCUUAUUGCCCUUUUCUUAGUAGUGAUCUGA